UAACGCGAAGAACCUUACCAGGUCUUGACAUCCUUUGAAGCUUUUAGAGAUAGAAGUGUUCUCUUCGGAGACAAAGUGACAGGUGGUGCAUGGUCGUCGUCAGCUCGUGUCGUGAGAUGUUGGGUUAAGUCCCGCAACGAGCGCAACCCUUAUUGUUAGUUGCCAGCAUUCAGUUGGGCACUCUAGCGAGACUGCCGGUGACAAACCGGAGGAAGGCGGGGACGACGUCAGAUCAUCACGCCCCUUAUGACCUGGGCUACACACGUGCUACAAUGGCGUAUACAACGAGUUGCCAACCUGCGAAGGUGAGCUAAUCUCUUAAAGUACGUCUCAGUUCGGACUGCAGUCUGCAACUCGACUGCACGAAGUCGGAAUCGCUAGUAAUCGCGGAUCAGC
rnacentral:rRNA from 1 species